AGGAUGAACGCUGGCGGCGUGCUUAACACAUGCAAGUCGAACGAUGAAGGCUGGAGCUUGCUCUGGCUGGAUUAGUGGCGAACGGGUGAGUAACACGUGAGUAACCUGCCCCAGACUCUGGGAUAAGCGCUGGAAACGGCGUCUAAUACCGGAUACGAGCUUCCACCGCAUGGUGAGGAGCUGGAAAGAAUUUCGGUCUGGGAUGGACUCGCGGCCUAUCAGCUUGUUGGUGAGGUAAUGGCCCACCAAGGCGACGACGGGUAGCCGGCCCGAGAGGGUGACCGGCCACACUGGGACUGAGACACGGCCCA
rnacentral:rRNA from 1 species